AGUGAACGCUGGCGGUAGGCCUAACACAUGCAAGUCGAACGGCAGCACAGUAAGAGCUUGCCCUUACGGGUGGCGAGUGGCGGACGGGUGAGGAAUACAUCGGAAUCUACUUUUUCGUGGGGGAUAACGUAGGGAAACUUACGCUAAUACAGCAUACGACCUACGGGUGAAAGCAGGGGAUCUUCGGACCUUGCGCGAUUGAAUGAGCCGAUGUCGGAUUAGUUAGUUGGCGGGGUAAAGGCCCACCAAGUCGAGGAUCCGUAGCUGGUCUGAGAGGAUGAUCGGCCACACUGGAACUGAGACACGGUCCAGACUCCUACGGGAGGCAGCAGUGGGGAAUAUUGGACAAUGGGCGCAAGCCUGAUCCAGCCAUACCGCGUGGGUGAAGAAGGCCUUCGGGUUGUAAAGCCCUUUUGUUGGGAAAGAAAAGCAGCAGGUUAAUACCCCGCUGUUCUGACGGUACCCAAAGAAUAAGCACCGGCUAACUUCGUG
rnacentral:rRNA from 1 species